ACGUUAGCGGCGGACGGGUGAGUAACACGUGGGUAACCUACCUAUAAGACUGGGAUAACUUCGGGAAACCGGAGCUAAUACCGGAUAAUAUUUCGAACCGCAUGGUUCGAUAGUGAAAGGUGGUUUUGCUAUCACUUAUAGAUGGACCCGCGCCGUAUUAGCUAGUUGGUACGGUAACGGCUUACCAAGGCGACGAUACGUAGCCGACCUGAGAGGGUGAUCGGCCACACUGGAACUGAGACACGGUCCAGACUCCUACGGGAGGCAGCAGC
rnacentral:rRNA from 1 species